UGCCCCUUGGCCCAGUUGGUGAAGGCGCACGACUGUUAGUUCUGUUGCAAUCGUGAGAUCGCAAGUUCGAACCUUGCAGGGGCAG